UACGGGGGGGGGCAAGCGUUGUUCGGAAUUACUGGGCGUAAAGGGCUCGUAGGCGGCCAACUAAGUCGGACGUGAAAUCCCUCGGCUUAACCGGGGAACUGCGUCCGAUACUGGAUGGCUUGAGUAUGGGAGAGGGAUGCGGAAUUCCUGGUGUAGCGGUGGAAUGCGCAGAUAUCAGGAGGAACACCGAUGGCGAAGGCAGGUCACUGGGCCGCAACUGACGCUGAGGAGCGAAAGCAUGGGGGAGCGAACAGG
rnacentral:rRNA from 1 species